AGUUAAGCUUGUUUUCGUGAGAGGUGUUGGUGCAGUCUACGUUUUCGACCAGUCUGGAGACGAAGCUAAUUUGAUUAAUCAGAUGGUGUCCGAUCGGAGUAAAACCGGUGGCUACGGAUAUAGGACAUCUAGGGCUACAUUCGGACCGGAGGGAUUGAAAAGUUAACGGUCAGUUCUUGAGUUAUGCAUCUGUUUUCUCUAGUGUUCAGUUUUGGCAGAAUCAUCAUACUCAUUUAUUUUCAGACUUUCGGAGUUGCUGUGAUAGAGCCAUCAAGGGCUAUUCUGUGCUUCUCAGGUUCUUUAGAACCCGUGGCAAAGGUGAGGGUCUAUGCCGUAAAUCCCGUACCAGUGUAGAAUUCUUGCUAUGUUAGUUUAGAUUUCGAAUCAUGAUCCGUCUGUUUGAAUUGAGUCUGUUUGAGUCUUGAUUGUUAGUUAGUCAUUCAUUGUAAAUUGGAACUAGGGGUCUAGAGGAUUCAACCGUUGGUUUGAUUGUGUGAUGUUAAGAAAUGCGAUAUAUAUGUAUGUAUACAUAGUUAUGAGUAGGGACUAUGUGAGUGGGCGGGGGUCCAGAGAUGUCUGGACUAGCGACGCAGCUUUGGAGGGCGGGGGCUCAGAGACGUCUGGGCUAGCGAUGCAAAUUGUGUGGGGCGUGGGUGCAGAGACGUUUGCAUUCGACGCAGCUUUGGAGGGCGGGGGUACAGAGACAGACUGUACUAGCGACGCAGCGUAUGUAUAUAUAUAUCCGUAUGAGGAGAUGCGGGGUGUAUGGACUAGCUAUAUGCUAUCAUCGCAUUGCUUGCGUUGUGUGAUGCUUUAGGCGUUUUGUUUGUUCAUGUUAGAGCUAAACUUCCAUAGUGGGAGUUCUAUUACUCAAGUCAGUGGUUUGCGUGUUUAGCAUCCCCAUACCUCACGGAGUAACUCCCCUGUUGCUCACCCCUCUUCUUCCCCUUGCAGGUGCGCUUGCCGAGUGUUGGAUAUCUGGACGGUUUGAUGUCUUUGGGAUAAUUUAUUUAUUUCGGUUUUGAUUACUAAUUUAUACGAAUAUUAGAUUCGAUUUAUUUUGAUAUAUUUUUAUACUUCAAUUUAAAAAUAUAUUUCUUUGAAAAUUAUUUUAUUAAGUGUUAUGUUAUUUUGUUCGAUUUUGAAUAAUUCGGUUUGAUUCGAUAUUUCACCGUAAGUAACACGCCGUUCUCCAUAUAGGAGGUGAUGGGUGUUAUAAUUUGGUAUCAGAGCGGGGUUCCGUCACGGCACUGACCCGAGAUGGCGAUUUGUUGGGACGUGGUUUCGACUCGGUUUUAAUUCGGUUUAAUCGGUUUUUAAAGAUUUUUAAUUAUGGGGUUUUGGGAGUUUAAAAAAAAAGAAAAAUACAGCACCUUUCCGUUCAGAAACUUCUAACCCAAGUGUCUUUUUAUUGACAAUGAGUUUAUCAUCGUCAUCCGUUCUCUAGCUAACAGGGUUUCAGCCAGAUGUUCGACAGAUGGAUGAUGUCACAGCUCGACUGAUUGCUUAGGUGUGUAUCAGUUUCGUCAGCCGUGUUCAGAGAUUGUCUGCAUAUGGAUAUUCGACAUUGUUGCCACCACCCUAACUUCAAGCCAUCGCUCCAAGAGUUUUUGUUAUUGGAGAUUAUGUGGUAUGAGAUGUGAGCCAUGAGUUGGCAUGUGUUAUUUGUGUGUAUGAGUAUAUUUACUUCCUUGGAGGCAUGGUUAUUUUGUAAACUCGGGGGAUCACUUUUGGAUUGGGGUGCGACAACUUGCGUUGUGUGAUAUUGGACUUACGCUUGGUAUGUUUUCCAGUUUUUGACAGUGUUGAUCAUUUCAGAGAUGUGUCAGUUCGGACAGCUGACAUAGGAACGUUGGGGGCUAUUUAUAUUGAUUGCGGUGUACUAGUUAUCCUUGGAGGGCCAAUUGGUUCAGAGAAUCAUCAGAGAUGGAGUUGUGUUUUGCGAUGUCAUUCUUGGGAUGGAUUUGUUAUCACGACAUCAAGUAUUGUUGGAUUGCAUGAGGGUAAGAGUUCAUAUUUCUGGAGCAGAGCAGAUUUUAUUUGCAUACAUGCUACAUGCAGAGGAGUUAUUAGAUAUGGGGAGUAAAUGGAUUUUGGUGAUCAUUUCGAUGGUCAACAUGAAUUGCAGGAUGUUCCAGUUAUCUCAGAGUAUGGAGAUGUAUUUUAGGCCUUUGGAAGGGCUGUCACCAGCCAGAGGAGAUGUUCUUACGAUCGAGUUGGAGUCAAGGAAAACACCGGUUUCACGAGUUCUAUACCGAUUAGCGCCAGCAGAGAUGGCUGAGCUGAAGGAACAUAUGGAAGAUUCAUCAGACAAGAGAUUUAUCAGGCCGAGUAAUUCACCGUGGGAAGCACCAGUGUUGUUUGUAAAGAAAAAAAAAUGAUGGGAGUUUCAGGCUUUGUAUCGACUACAUAGACUUGAACAUGGUAAGUGGUAACCAUCAUAUCGAUGAGUUGUUGAAUUAGCUGCAUGAAGGUUCAUGGUUCUCGAAAGGUGUCUUGGCAUCAGGACAUCAUCAUAUUGCUAUAGUUGAGGAGUAUGUACGGAAUAUGGGUUUCAGUAUACGUUAUGGAUAUUAUGAGUUUUGGUGACAUCAUUUCGGAUCGACGAAAGCACCGAUAGCAUUUGAGAAGCUAAUAAAUGAUGUCUUUCGCGAACACUUGGACAAGUGCGCGAUUGUACUCAUCGACGACCCCAUUGAGUUAUUCUUGGAGUAGAGGGAGCAUGAGGAGCAUUUGCGGAUUUUAUAUUAAUGCAUCAGGAUCAAGACAUUCCAUAUUCAUUGCAUCAGUUAAGACCUCACGAGACCCACUACCCUAUUCAUGAUUCAUAGUGGCUGCAGUGGUAUUUGUGUUAUAGUUUUGGAGAUUGUAAUUGUACAGGAAGAAAGUUCAGAUUCUCUGGGAUCAUUGGAGUCCGAAAUCUAUCUUCAUUCAUUAAAACUUGUACUUGGACAGUGCAGUUGGAUUGAGUUGGUAGCAGGCUACAAUUGGAUAUUGCAUACCAUAUGGUAAAGACAAUCAGGUAACAAAUGCCUUGGGUAGGCACAUGAGCGACGUAUCAGGAACCAAAGAGGUUCAUGAUUUAUUGGGAUAUUUGCUAGUCUCAGAUUGUGUGUCAUUACUGUCGAUGGAGAGACAGAUGGCCUUGGGACUUUGGAGCAUGCAGUUUUGCUAUGGAGGAUACGCCAAGCGUAUGUUAGCGUUAUGGCUUUGUAAGACGAUCGAGAUUGGGAGUAUUGGAUAUCAUAAGUGUUGAGCGGGAUGUACCUGUACCAAAACCGAGUUGUGUGUUUGACGAUAAGCUGUUAAGAAAAGGGAUCUUACAGCAAAUACAUCACUCGUGUUUCUCUACCCAUCGGGAACACGAACGGGUACAACGAUAUGAAGUGUUAACUAUAAUUGGUCUAGUAUGAAGAGAGUUGUAGCUUCAUUUCGUCACAGUGUCAGACAUGUCAGAUGGCUAUGUCAGAGGAUCAGUUAUCUAUUAUGUUAUUUUUGAGCUUGCUUUUGCCGAAGUGGAAAUGAUGCAUGGUGAUUAUGGACGUUGUUAUUGGAUUUUAAAUCACUAUAUUUGGAAAGGAUGCCACAUGGGUAGUCAUGGAUAGACUUACCAAGUCAGCCUAUUUCCUAAGUAAUUCAGAAACAGUCAGAGCUAAUAAAUUGGAGCAUAUCUUGAUUUUGGAAGGUUUCAUUGAUGUCAACAUUGUAUCGGAUUGGGAUUCGAAGUUCACUACAUUUUUGGAGUCAUUCAGAAGGAACUUGGGACAAAGAUCCACAGGAAUACAACUUAUUAUCAGCAUACAGAUGGUUAGUCAAAGAGAACUAUUCAUGCUUAAAGGACAUGCUCAGAUUUGCGUCUUAUAGUGGGAUGGAAGAUCGGAAAGCAUUACAUCUAGCAGAGUUUACCUACAACCACAACUAUAGUUCAAGCAUUGAGAUGACACCGUAUACCACUUUGUUGGACCAAAGUGAGGGAGUGACAUGAAUUAGAACUAUCAAUUGUUCAAGAGAUGGUAUAGCAAAUAGACAUGCUCAAGGAUUGGCUUUGGGAAGCCCACGACGGAAGAGGAUUUAUGCAGCAAAGCGCCGUAAGGAUUUGGAGUUACAUAUGAAUGAUCUAGUGUACCUGAAAAUAAUGACAUUUUAGGGAGGACUCAAGGCUCAUGAGCUGAAGCAACUAGAACCGAGGUACAUUGGACUGUAUCCUCUAGUGGAACGAAUUGGAGCAGUUGAUUGGAGUUAUUUUAUCAGCAGUGUAUCAAACUUUCAUGGUGUGAUCUAAGUGAGAUCAAAUGCAUAUGAGAAUUGAUUAUUCAGAUGAGGUAUUGGACAGUCGGCUCAUUAUUUGAAUUCGAGGACGAAUUUCUUAUUAGUGGGGGAGAAUUGUAACGACCCGGUUUUGUGAACCGAAGCUGGUUUAAGCUUUCUUUAAUUAUUUGUGAUUAAACCAAACAUUUCCCCAAACCAAGUCUUAUAUAUAUGAUCGUACAUAUCCUCUUCCCUAAUUGAAAAGCCCUAGCCGUAAGAAACCAUCUCCAUCUUCACGAUCUCUCACUCUUUGGUUGCAGCCAUGUAAGAGGAGCUCUGCCAUUGUUGACGCAUCACCACCGUAUCUUUUCUCUGUUGUUAAUGGCUUACCAUCUCUAUGAUUCAAUCUCCACGGAAGAACACAGAUGUAAUCACCAUAUUGGAACUAGUUGGCUACGUUACGAGACGGAGAGAGAACGUGACCAUAAGCCGGCGCCACCGCCAUGAUCAUCACCAACCACCACGGAGUUGUGCCCCUGUGAACCUAAACCCACCAGACGUGUGACCUAUAGCACCAGAGAUACUUUUGCGCAGCAGAGAUUUCUUCAUGUCUUAAGCUGGGAGAAGAGAUUGAUGCAUCAGACCCAUGGCUGAGGAGUUGUUUUGCGAGAGGUUUCUAAUACGAUCCAGGGGGUGCUAGGCAACGAGUCAUGGCUCUUUGGAUAGAUCUCGUUUCCAGAAAUCUGCAGAAACAAACGGAAUCAAGAUCAGAGUUGUACAGCAAAAGUUAUUGACAUGCUUCUUGGACAAGAAUAAGCUUAAGCUGUUGGAAUGCUGAAACAGUUCCGACCAGUGUCAGAGUAAAGGCGAAACGGUGAACCUUAACAAAGGCUUUCAGUCUGGGACUUUUACAGUAAGUAUUUAACUCUUUCAGUUAUCAUCUCCAACAGACGGAUUGUCAUUCCAAGUUAUUUUCUGAGAGUUAAGCUUGUUUUCGUGAGAGGUGUUGGUGCAGUCUACGUUUUCGACCAGUCUGGAGACGAAGCUAAUUUGAUUAAUCAGAUGGUGUCCGAUCGGAGUAAAACCGGUGGCUACGGAUAUAGAACAUCUAGGGCUACAUUCGGACCGGAGGGAUUGAAAAGUUAACGGUCAGUUCUUGAGAUAUGCAUCUGUUUUCUCUAGUGUUCAGUUUUGGCAGAAUCAUAAUACUCAUUUAUUUUCAGACUUUCGGAGUUGCUGUGAUAGAGCCAUCAAGGGCUAUUCUGUGCUUCUCAGGUUCUUUAGAACCCGUGGCAAAGGUAAGGGUCUAUGCCGUAAAUCAUGUACCAGUGUAGAAUUCUCCCUAUGUUAGUUUAGAUUUCGAAUCAUGAUCCGUCUGUUUGAAUUGAAUCUGUUUGAGUCUUGAUUGUUAGUUAGUCAUUCAUUGUAAAUUGGAACUAGGGGUCUAGAGGAUUCAACCGUUGGUUUGAUUGUGUGAUGUUAAGAAAUGCGAUAUAUAUGUAUGUAUACAUAGUUAUGAGUAGGGACUAUGUGAGUGGGCGGGGGUCCAGAGAUGUCUGGACUAGCGACGCAGCUUUGGAGGGCGGGGGCUCAGAGACGUCUGGGCUAGCGACGCAAAUUGUGUGGGGCGUGGGUGCAGAGACGUUUGCAUUCGACGCAGCUUUGGAGGGCGGGGGUACAGAGACAGACUGUACUAGCGACGCAGCGUAUGUAUAUAUAUAUCCGUAUGAGGAGAUGCGGGGUGUAUGGACUAGCUAUAUGCUAUCAUCGCAUUGCUUGUGUUGUGUGAUGCUUUAGGCGUUUUGUUUGUUCAUGUUAGAGCUAAACUUCCAUAGUGGGAGUUCUAUUACUCAAGUCAGUGGUUUGCGUGUUUAGCAUCCCCAUACCUCACGGAGUAACUCUCCUGUUGCUCAUCCCUCUUCUUCCCCUUGCAGGUGCGCUUGCCGCCGAGUGUUGGAUAUCUGGACGGUUUGGUGUCUUUAGGAUAAUUUAUUUAUUUCGGUUUUGAUUACUAAUUUAUACGAAUAUUAGAUUCGAUUUAUUUUGAUAUAUUUUUAUACUUCAAUUUAAAAAUAUAUUUCUUUGAAAAUUAUUUUAUUAAAUGUUAUGUUAUUUUGUUCGAUUUUGAAUAAUUCGGUUUGAUUCGAUAUUUCACCGUAAGUAACACGCCGUUCUCCAUACAGGAGGUGAUGGGUGUUAUAAUUUGGUAUCAGAGCGGGGUUCCGUCACGGCACUGACCCGAGAUGGCGAUUUGUUGGGACGUGGUUUCGACUCGGUUUUAAUUCGGUUUUUAAAGAUUUUUAAUUAUGGGGUUUUGGGAGUUUAAAAAAAAAGAAAAAUACAGCACCUUUCCGUUCAGAAACUUCUAACCCAAGUGUCUUUUUAUUGACGAUGAGUUUAUCAUCGUCAUCCGUUCUCUAGCUAACAGGGUUUCAGCCAGAUGUUCGACAGAUGGAUGAUGUCACAGCUCGACUGAUUGCUUAGGUGUGUAUCAAUUUCGUCAGCCGUGUUCAGAGAUUGUCUGCAUAUGGAUAUGCGACAUUGUUGCCACCACCCUAACUUCAAGCCAUCGCUCCACGAGUUUUUGUUAUUGGAGAUU
rnacentral:lncRNA from 1 species